CCUACGGGUGGCAGCAGUGAGGAAUAUUGGUCAAUGGACGCAAGCCUGAACCAGCCACGCCGCGUGAAGGAUGACGGCUCUACGGGUUGUAAACUUCUUUUAUACGAGAGUAAAGUGAGACACGUGUGCCUUUUUGUAUGUAUUUUACGAAUAAGGAUCGGCUAACUCCGUGCCAGCAGCCGCGGUAAUACGGAGGAUCCGAGCGUUAUCCGGAUUUAUUGGGUUUAAAGGGAGCGUAGAUGGGUUGUUAAGUCAGUUGUGAAAUUUUGGGGCUCAACCGUAAAAUUGCAUUUGAUACUGUCAGUCUAGAGUACAGUUGAGGUAGGCGGAAUUCAUGGUGUAGCGGUGAAAUGCAUAGAGAUCAUGAAGAACACCGAUUGCGAAGGCAGCUUACUAAACUGCCACUGACAUUGAGGCUCGAAAGUGUGGGGAGCAAACAGGAUUAGAUACCCCUGUAGUC
rnacentral:rRNA from 1 species